AGAGUUUGAUCCUGGCUCAGAGUGAACGCUGGCGGCAUGCCUUACACAUGCAAGUCGAACGGUAACGCGGGGGCAACCCUGGCGACGAGUGGCGAACGGGUGAGUAAUACAUCGGAACAUAUCCAGUAGCGGGGGAUAACCUAUCGAAAGAUUGGCUAAUACCGCAUACGAUCUACGGAUGAAAGCGGGGGACCGCAAGGCCUCACGUUAUUGGAGCGGCCGAUGGCUGAUUAGCUAGUUGGUAGGGUAAAGGCCUACCAAGGCGACGAUCAGUAGCUGGUCUGAGAGGACGAUCAGCCACACUGGGACUGAGACACGGCCCAGACUCCUACGGGAGGCAGCAGUGGGGAAUUUUGGACAAUGGGGGAAACCCUGAUCCAGCAAUGCCGCGUGUGCGAAGAAGGCCUUCGGGUUGUAA
rnacentral:rRNA from 1 species